CUACGGGCGGCAGCAGUGGGGAAUAUUGCACAAUGGGCGCAAGCCUGAUGCAGCCAUGCCGCGUGCAUGAAGAAGGCCUUCGGGUUGUAAAGUACUUUCAGCGGGGAGGAAGGGAGUAAAGUUAAUACCUUUGCUCAUUGACGUUACCCGCAGAAGAAGCACCGGCUAGCUCCGUGCCAGCAGCCGCGGUAAUACGGAGGGUGCAAGCGUUAAUCGGAAUUACUGGGCGUAAAGCGCACGCAGGCGGUUUGUUAAGUCAGAUGUGAAAUCCCCGGGCUCAACCUGGGAACUGCAUCGGAUACUGGCAAGCUUGAGUCUCGUAGAGGGGGGUAGAAUUCCAGGUGUAGCGGUGAAAUGCGUAGAGAUCUGGAGGAAUACCGGUGGCGAAGGCGGCCCCCUGGACGAAGACUGACGCUCAGGUGCGAAAGCGUGGGGAGCAAACAGGAUUAGAUACCCCAGUAGUC
rnacentral:rRNA from 1 species